UGGUCAAGUUAUUAAGGGCAUAGGGUGAAUGCCUUGGCACCAGGAGCCGAUGAAGGACGGGAUAAGCGCCGAUACGCCUCGGGGAGUCGCAAGUAGACUUCGAUCCGGGGAUUUCCGAAUGGGGAAACCCACCUAGGGUAAACUCUAGGUAUCUUCUGCUAAAUACAUAGGCAGAUGAAGGCAGACCAGGGGAACUGAAACAUCUAAGUACCCUGAGGAAGAGAAAGAAAACUCGAUUCCCUAAGUAGCGGCGAGCGAACGGGGAAAAGCCCAAACCAAUGAAGGUUUCCUUUAUUGGGGUUGUGGACCGGCAUAACGGAAGAGGCUAUUGUAGUUGAAGAGGUCUGGAAAGACCCACCAUAGAAGGUGAUAGUCCUGUAAGCAAAACAAGAAGACUUCCAGCCGUGAUCCAGAGUACCACGGGACACGUGAAACCCUGUGGGAAGCAGGGGGGACCACCCCCCAAGGCUAAAUACUACCUGGUGACCGAUAGUGAAGUAGUACCGUGAGGGAAAGGUGAAAAGAACCCCGGGAGGGGAGUGAAAUAGAACCUGAAACCCUAUGUCUAUAAGCAGUGGAAGUUCUUUUUAUGAACGACCGCGUACUUUUUGUAGAACGGGCCAGCGAGUUACGAUAUGCAGCAAGGUUAAGUUGUUAAGCAACGGAGCCGCAGGGAAACCGAGUCUUAAUAGGGCGCUUUAAGUUGCAUGUCGUAGACCCGAAACCGGGUGACCUACCCAUGGGCAGGAUGAAGCGGAAGUAAAAUUUCGUGGAGGUCCGAACCGUUUAGCGUUUAAAAGCUAUCGGAUGACCUGUGGGUAGCGGUGAAAUUCCAAUCGAACCCGGAUAUAGCUGGUUCUCCUCGAAAUAGCUUUAGGGCUAGCCUCGAGUUUAGUGACGUGGAGGUAGAGCACUGAAUGGUCUAGGGGCGUUUAUACGUUACCAAAACCUAUCAAACUCCGAAUGCCAUAGUCAUAUACUCGGGAGUCAGACUGCGUGAGAUAAGUUUCGUAGUCGAAAGGGAAACAGCCCAGAUCACCAACUAAGGUCCCUAAGUACAAGUUAAGUGGAAAAGGAUGUAAGACUACACAGACAACCAGGAUGUUGGCUUAGAAGCAGCCAUUCAUUCAAAGAGUGCGUAAUAGCUCACUGGUCGAGUGGUCUUGCGCCGAAGAUUACCGGGGCUCAAACUUGUCACCGAAGUUGUGGGAUACAGUAGUAUCGGUAGAGGAGCAUUCUGUAUGGGUUGAAGCUACACCGUAAGGAGUGGUGGACUGUACAGAAGAGAGAAUGCUGGCAUGAGUAGCGAAAGGUGGGUGAGAAUCCCACCCGUCGAAAGCCUAAGGUUUCCUGAGGAAGGCUCGUCCACUCAGGGUUAGUCGGGACCUAAGCUGAGGCCCAAUGGCGUAAGCGAUGGACAACAGGUUGAGAUUCCUGUACUACCUAUAAGCGUUUGAGAAAUGGAGUGACACAGUAGGAUAGGUUAAGCACACCGUUGGUUGAGUGUGUCUAAGCCCGUAGGGAGUUUCUAUAGGCAAAUCCGUAGAAACAAUUCCAAGAGGUGAUGGGGAGCGAAAUUUAAGUAGCGAACUAACUGAUUCCACACUGUCUAGAAAAGCUUCUAUCGAGCAAAUAGGUACCCGUACCGCAAACCGACACAGGUAGGCGAGGAGAGAAUCCUAAGACGAGCGGAAGAACUCUUGUUAAGGAACUCGGCAAAAUGACCCCGUAACUUCGGGAGAAGGGGUGCCAGAGAAGGUAAAGGUGUAUACCACCUGAGCUUUAUCUGGCCGCAGUGAAGAGGCCCAAGCGACUGUUUACCAAAAACACAGGUCUCUGCUAAAUCGAAAGAUGAUGUAUAGGGGCUGACACCUGCCCGGUGCUGGAAGGUUAAGGGGAAUUGUUAGCGCAAGCGAAGCAAUGAACUUAAGCCCCAGUAAACGGCGGCCGUAACUAUAACGGUCCUAAGGUAGCGAAAUUCCUUGUCGGGUAAGUUCCGACCCGCACGAAAGGUGUAACGAUUUGGGCACUGUCUCAACAAGAGAUCCGGUGAAAUUGUAGUACUCGUGAAGAUGCGAGUUACCCGCGACUAGACGGAAAGACCCCAUGGAGCUUUACUGCAGGCUGACAUUGGAUUUUGGUAUUAUAUGUACAGGAUAGGUGGGAGACUUGGAAACCGGGGCGCCAGCUUCGGUGGAGUCAAUGUUGGGAUACCACUCUUAUGAUACUGAAGUUCUAACCAGAGACCGUGAAUCCGGUCUUGGGACACUGUCAGUUGGGCAGUUUGACUGGGGCGGUCGCCUCCCAAAAAGUAACGGAGGCGCUCAAAGGUUCCCUCAGCACGGUCGGAAAUCGUGCGUAGAGUGUAAAGGCAGAAGGGAGCUUGACUGCGAGACAUACAGGUCGAGCAGGAACGAAAGUUGGACUUAGUGAUCCGGUGGCACCGAGUGGAAGGGCCAUCGCUCAACGGAUAAAAGCUACCCUGGGGAUAACAGGCUUAUCUCCCCCAAGAGUCCACAUCGACGGGGAGGUUUGGCACCUCGAUGUCGGCUCGUCUCAUCCUGGAGCUGUAGCAGGUUCCAAGGGUUGGGCUGUUCGCCCAUUAAAGAGGCACGCGAGCUGGGUUCAGAACGUCGUGAGACAGUUCGGUCCCUAUCUGUCGUGGGCGUAGGAAAUUUGAAAGGAGCUGUCCCUAGUACGAGAGGACCGGGAUGGACAGACCACUGGUGUAUCAGUUGUCCUGCCAAGGGCAUGGCUGAGUAGCUAAGUCUGGACGGGAUAAGCGCUGAAGGCAUCUAAGCGCGAAGCCUCCCUUAAGAUUAGAUUUCCCAUCUGGUUAACAGAGUAAGACCCCAGAAAGACUAACUGGUUGAUAGGUCACAGGUGUAAGAGCAGCAAUGUUCUAAGCUAAGUGAUACUAAUAGGUCGAGGGCUUGACCAG
rnacentral:rRNA from 1 species